rnacentral:tmRNA from 22 species
GGGGGCGCCAAGGUUUCGACGGGGAUUGGAAGCUAAGGUUGCAUGUCGGAGUGGGCAGGCUCCGUUAAAAAGCCCAUCUUAUACAAACGCCGAUACUGACGUUUCGUACGCACUGGCAGCUUAAGUCUGCCACGUCUCUAGUCUCUUCGCCUGCGGGUUUCUAGCGACGUCAAUUUAGUAGGCUGGUUGUUGUUCAAGUCCGUGGUUCAACAGCGAGAUCUAAACGGAAUCGCCACAUGUAAGAGCCUGUCUGUGGGGGCUGCAUGCGGUUAAAUUUAAAACACAGACUACACAUGUAGACGCCUUAAGUGAAAGAUUUUCGGACGCGGGUUCGAUUCCCGCCGCCUCCACCA